CGAUUAGCUCAGGCGGUAGAGCACUUGACUUUUAAUCAAGUUGUCGCGGGUUCGAAUCCCGCAUCGU
rnacentral:tRNA from 1 species